AAGGAGCAAUUCCAAGUGCCAUUGGAAACUUGAUUUCCCUCAACAGACUUGACCUGUCAUACAACAAACUUGAAGGAGCAAUUCCAAGUGCCAUUGGAAACUUGAUUUCCCUCGACAGACUUGACCUGUCAUACAACAACUUGAAGGAGCAAUUCCAAGUGCCAUUGGAAACCUAAUUUCCCUUAGCAGGCUUGCCUUGUCAUACAACGAACUUGAAGGAGUAAUUCCAGUCACUUUGGGUGAGCUAACUUCUUUGACAUCUGUGGACCUUUCCUAUAACAAACUCAAUGGAAGUCUCCGUUGAGGCAGUGGGUGUAGAGUAGGCUUUGAGGCGUGAUGAAUCACUAUCUUUAAGGUAUUAAUUGCCCCCACUAGAUUGCUGCAAGGUUAUGGCAAUAUACCUCCAGGAUACAACA
rnacentral:misc_RNA from 1 species